rnacentral:lncRNA from 1 species
CCUCCGCUACAGAAGUCUUACCCAUUCGAACGGUUGGAGAGUCUAGUGUGGCUCCUCCUAGACUCUCUGCAACAAACACUCCACUCUUGACAUAUCAUCGUCGUCCUCGCCCAGCAUCCGGCUCGGUUGAUUCACGUUCUGCGCCUGACCCUGCUCCUACUGCGGACUUGUCUCUUCUGAUUGCACUUCGGAAAGGUAUACGG